UACGGCUGUUUUCGAGAUAUUUGGUAAAUGGUAAUGGCUUCUUCACUGUAUCGUCUUCUUCACCAACUAUAAAUUCCAUAUCUAUUUCUCUCUCUUGCUUUUGGGAUUCGCACAUGAAAACGCUUUAGCGAUUGUGGAAAAUAAUGUAACACCCUCGCAACAAUGACCAGCUAGCGAACGCUCGCUUUGUCUCUUUCUCUCUUUCUCUUUCUAAUCUCUAUCGGCUCUCUCUCUUAUUGUCUGUUGUCUUAUAGUCAUAGUUUUUAUCAUACUUUUUUCAUUUUCUUUCUCUUCUUGGUAAUGACGAUGACGGUGAAAAUGGGGAAGGGAUUGGAGGAAUUUCUGCGCCUGAUUUGAUUGAACAAUUGGGUGGAAGAGAGAGAGAGAGAGAGAGAGAGAGAGAGAGGGGAAAAAUGUUCAGGUUGCACAGGAACCGACAGGCGAAAUCAGGGGAGAAAAUUGAUUUCAAGUUCUCCAACUUCAAGGCACUCCAGGUACCUAAAGGUUGGGACAAGCUAUUUAUAUCUGUCGUCUCAGAGCAAACCGGGAAGACAAUUGUCAGGUCAAGCAAAGCAUCUGUUCGUAAUGGAGGUUGCCAAUGGACUGAAUCUCUAUCAGAGUCCAUUUGGGUUUCACAGGACGAAAUUUCAAAGGAGUUUGAAGAUUGUAAUUUCAAGCUUGUUGUGGCCAUGGGAUCAGCAAGAUCUAAUAUUCUUGGUGAGGCUAUGGUCAACAUGACAAAUUACAUAGAUUCUAAAUCUUCUUCUGCUGUCUCACUUCCAUUGAAAAAGUGCAAUCAUGGGACUAAUUUACAAGUAAAAAUUCAGUGCCUAACUCCAAUUACAAAAGUGAGGAGGAGUGGAGAAUUGAAACAGACAAAUUCUUCAAAAGAAAACUUGAAGAAGGAAGGUCAUGACUCAGAUAGCUGCUCAGAUAUAACCGAUAGCCAAUUGUCGAGGAGUAUUGGAUCUUCCUCUGGUGCAGAUUUAUACUCUAGCUUACACUCCGGAGAGGGUAGCAGCAAGGAAGCAAGUUUCUCUGCUUCCUAUUCACAACUGAGCAAUGAUUCAUCUGAGGUUUAUGAAUCCGUAGAAAACGACGCUGCAAAAAACAAUUAUAGUGAUAUGCAAAGACAAGACUCCGUGAGCUCACAGAAUAGUUUAUCACCUAAUUCUGUAAUUACUGGUUCAGCAGCGGAGGCAACGACUGUUCUGGAACUUCGUGCUGAAGCUAAGUUGUGGGAGAAAAAUGCCCACAAACUGAUGGCUGAUCUUGAUCAGUUGAAGAAAGAGUUUUCAGAUCAAUCCCAACACCAGGAAAGUUUAAAUUCUGCACUUUCAGCAGCAAAUGCAGAAUGUGAUGGUUUGAGAAAAGAACUUGAGCAACUGAAACUGGUGACUGAGAACUCAACACAGAGACAAACAAUCAUUGAGGAUUUUUCAUAUCAAAAUAAUGAACCACUCAUCCUAAACGAAUUGAAAGAUGAACUGAAGUUCCUGAAAGAAACUAAUGCUGAUUUAGCCGAGCAGCUAAAGAGAAGCCAAGAAUCAAAUAUUGAGCUUGUGUCCGUCCUUCAGGAGCUAGAAGAAACUACCGAAAAGCAGAGACUGGAAAUUGGGGAACUUUUGGCACGUCACAGAAAAGAUAAUGAUAUUGAAAAUAUUAUUCAAGAAAACAAGGAAUUGAUGCUUCAGUUAGAACGUGUGAAAGAAUCAGAGAAGAAUCUUCAAUUGAAGGUAGGGCUACUAGAGAGAAACUUGGAGGAAACAAAUUUGAGAAACUUGGAGGAAACAAAUUUUGAUUUAGAGAAAUGCAAGGUCUCAAACCAACGAUUCCCUCAGGAUAUAGACAAGGAAUCCGAUGGUAAGCUACAUUCUGAGGAGGAACUACGGUCUUUACAAUCUGUAAACACAAAUCUAGUGAAGGAAAUUGAAAUGUUGAAGGAAAAAGUGCAGGAGCUAGAAAAGGACUGUAAUGAGUUGACGGAUGAGAACAUAGAUCUCUUGUACAAGCUUAAGCAAGCAAAUAACGAUGCUAAGGGAGGAGGUUUGCCUUUUAACUCCUCAGGUGGUAAGCCUUUAUCUAAUUCCUUUGUUAAUUUUGGAUUCGAUACAAUGAAACACAAAAAUUCUACACAAAAUCUCGAGGUAAGUCCUGAAGGGAUUGAGAAUAACGAUAGUUCUUUCAAUCAAAAGCUAGAGAGUGCGAAAUUUGAACUGGAAGUCAAAGUUGAAGAGCUCAGUAGGGAAUUGACUGAGAAACAGCUGGAGAUUGAAAAACUUGAAUCCAGCAUUUUGUCCAAAGAAGACGAGAUUAAGAUCCUCGGAGAUUUGCAUACUGAAUUGCAAGCUAAGUAUGCAAAUCUUCAAAAAGAAAAACAUGAGAUCGAGGAACAGAUGGAAGUCAUACUUGGAGAAAGCAAUAUCAGCUCUAAAUGCAUAAAUGAUUUGCGAAAUGAAGUAAAGGAGCUUAGAAACAGUGUGGAUUUGCAUGACUCUGUAAAAAGUAAAUGUUCAGAGCUUGAAUGUGAAAAACGAGAAUUUGAACUUCAUGUAUCUCAGAUGGAACAAGAACGCAUACAGUUGUCAGAACGCAUAUCUGUUUUGGAAUCUCAACUAAAAUAUAUGAAAGACGAGAAGGAGUCGGUUCGCCUUGAGUUAGAGAACUCUAAGUCUCGUGCUGUGGGUCUCCAAGAUGAAGUUGAUAGACUGAGACUCGAGAUAGAGAAGGGAAGUGUUGAUCUGAAACAAAUGUUGAAUGAUGUGCAAAACCAGUGUGCAGAGGCUCAAGAUCAAUGUGAGUACCUGCAAAGAGAAAAAGAUUUGGUUCAGAAAUCAAAUGGAGAGCUGAAGAAAAAGAAUUUCGAGUUACAUGAGCGUUAUUUACGUUUGGAAUCGAAAUUGAAGGAGUCACUUGAAAGGUCUGCUCAUUAUUCCAAAAAAGUUGAUGAUUUGGAGCAGUAUCUCUCUCUUGGAUUGGAGGAUUUCGCCUCAAAAGAAAGAUUACUAUCUUCGGAACUAAGUUCAAUCGUUGAAGACAACAUAAAAUACAAAGAGAAAUUUGCCAUGUUUGAAAGCUUGUACAAUGAGACAUAUUUAGAGAAGGCAACUGAAGCUCAAGAACUUCAAGGAGCAGUUGUGCACCUGACCAAGCAACUUUCAUCUAUGAAGAAUGAUCUCAACAUCAUGCAAAUGGAAUCUGAUGAAAAGUUAACAGCUUUGAUCAAUGAGCUUUCCGUGUCAAAACAAAGCCAAGGAACACUGAUAGUCGACCAUGAAAAGUUACUGAAGCAGUUGGAAAAUUACAAAUCACUCGAAGUCAAACUAAAGAACUCUGUCAAUGAUCUUGAAUUAAAGCUUUCUGUGUCUGAAAAAGAACGAAAGCAGCAUGAGGAAGAACUAACUAACUUAAAGGUAAAAAUGGCCCAUUUUCAGGAUGAGGUUUCUGAAUCGAGGAACAAGCUCGAACAAAAGAUUAUCGAUGAAUUAGAGGAGAGCAAACAGAGCGAAGUUGCCUUAAAAGAAAAUGUUCUGAGAAUAGGGAGUGAAUCAGUAGUGAAAGAGGCAUCAUUUACUGGGAAUGACGAUUUAAGCAAUGAGCUCUACCAGAUUAAGAGAGUAAACAGUAAGUACCAACAGAAACCGAAAAUACUGGAUGAGAAAGAUGAGUGCCUAAAAAGAUGCCAAUACCUUGAAGCAGAACUGAGACAAUUAAAGGAGGAAAAACGGAUCCAGCGGGAGUCUAGCAGUGUAAAGGUUCACGGUCUUUCCAAAACCAACGGCAAAAACACGAAGCUUCUAAUAAAUGAUGCGGUAAAGACCGUUGGUCAGAAUCUUAGUGGCAAGAAGAAGCCUGCUUCAAAGACCAGCCAAUCACAUGAACAAGUGAAAGAUCGUAAGGACUUUAACAGCAAUCAAUCUCAUUCUCAAGUUAAGGAUGAUAGUGAAUAUGAUAUUCCUGAAGCUGAAUCUGUUUCAAGAAUUCAGUUGCUCGAAAAGGAACUUGCUGAGGCUUUGGGAGCAAACAAGAAAUAUGAAGAUCAGCUGAGCAGGCUUGUUUCAGACAAUCAAAACAACAAAGAAAAUUCUCCCAUAUCAUUAGUUGAAGGUGAUGCAGUGGCAAAGGAAAGAUACGAAAGCAUAAACUCAGCUCUCGAGGCAGAGUUAAGAGACAUUCGUGAGCGGUACUUUCACAUCAGCCUGAAGUACGCUGAAGUCGAGCAACAGCGUGAGGAACUUGUUAUGAAGCUGAAAGCAACCAAGAGUGGGGGAAGGAGAUGGUUCUCAUGAAAGUCCAAAAAGUGCAUGUUUUCUCUUUACUUUGUAAAUGCACACCAGACUCGGACGCUUCUCUGAAGCCAUUUUCAGUUCUCAAAUCAUGAUUUCAAUCAAGACUCGCAAUUGAAUCCUGCUGGAACACUGGUCUUAGUCUUAGGCUAACAGCAAGAGAUUACUAACAUGGAAGAGUGCAUGGUUGUUUGAGAAGGGAGAGACGGAGAGUGUGAUGAUGACCAACCUGAAGUUGAAGAAAUCAGACAGCUCUGCUCCCAUUGUUUCAAACAAGUUAUUUUGUAUAAAGUAUCCAUUUGUCUUGCUAACCUCAGCAACUCUAACCAGUGAUGACCGCAGCCUUCUCCAAGUGCCAGGCAUUAUGCCAUAGAAACUGAAAAUGAACUUUCUGGACAAACUACUAUCUUACUGUAACAGCCUUAACAGCCUAAGCUCACCGCUCAUCGUUAUUGUUUUCUUCAGGUUUGUAGGAAUACCUCUGUUGGUAGGAGGAGCAAAAGCCUAAUGAAGGCGUUGAGAGGAAAAUGCAAUCCAGAAAAGGAGCAAAAAGAAGGUGGUGUGGUCACACUUGGAACAGUUUAAGAAUAUGGUACGAGUAUAUCCCCUGGAAGAUACUGAAUUUGUUCGUGCUGCCUCCAUUUAUCACUUUUUUUUCUUCUUCAUGUCCUGCUUUCUGCUCACGUUUCCUUUUUAACAAAAGAAAGUGGCCGCACACCGCUCUUGGUGUCACGUCAGUCUCUUGAUUCCCUUUCUUCCCUGCCCUGCUAAGCUUCUAUAACAACCAGUGCAGCUUCUUUAUCAAACCCUCUUUACAACUGCACCCAACCCCACCACCAAUUUGUCUCAUGCCCCUCUCUGCGGCCACCCUAGCGGUGGCCAGCGGCUGUGGAGCUUCCAUUUCAGGUGGAGAUUGUGUGAAGUUUACAGUAUUGUUUUUCCCCCAUGCUCAACUAGUUGAGUCGUGGUAGUGAAGAGGAGAUGAUAUAAAGGUUUCUUGAAAGUUUGUGUCUUCUUCAGUGGGGCCAGAGGAGAUGUUUAUGACUUCCUCUGUAAAGGGCAACUCCCAUCCUUUGGCGUUCUCCAAAUUCCCAGAAAAAUCUCACUGUUCUUCGCUUCUCCUGAUGUGGGCAUCGAGGAAGUUCUGAACUUUUCGAUUCAGUGACUCGGAUUAUGCACUAAUGUUUUACUCUUGCUUUUCUUUGCUUUCUGAUAAUGCAUCACUUGGUGGUUGCUUAUAUAUAUAUAUAUCUAUGGCAUGCCCUCAGCCCCCCUGAGUUUUAAGAAUGCAUUGUACUUAUCUCCCAUCUCUCUGCGAGUGAUUGGAAAUCUCUGUCUUUCUCUAUGGAUUGUUGGAAUUUUGAGAUGAAUAGUUUGA